CCCGGAGAGCCAGUCCCUGAGUCUCAGCUGUUUUGCUUGCCGCGUAAGCGCCCUGGUCUUCCGGGCGUGCCUCUGUGCGGCUGCGUGGGGGAGUACGGUCUUUGCAGAGCAGACUCACGUGACUGAUAAUAUUUCCAUAGGAGAUAUUUCCAAUGCAUACUCCCAUUGAAGAAGAAAAUCCCUUCUUGAAGCACCAUGAUCCCCUUAGAGCACUGUGAUACCUGGAGGUGGUAGAAAUAAGCUGGUACCUUGAGCCAUUCUGGAGGAAAUAUUUGAGAUUGGUACCUACUAGGAGCAUGGCUUCCUCCCUGGCGUGUCUGGGGAUCUGGGGUGGUGAGAGCUACGGCGCUGCCUGCUGUCCUGCACUGGACUUCGUGUUCCAGAAUUAGA